rnacentral:rRNA from 1 species
CAGCAGCCGCGGGAAAACGAAGGGGGCUAGCGUUGCUCGGAAUGACUGGGCGUAAAGGGCGCGUAGGCGGCGGCCAAAGUCAGGCGUGAAAUUCCUGGGCUCAACCUUGGGGCUGCGCUUGAUACUUGGUUGCUUGAGUGGGGAAGAGGGUCGUGGAAUUCCCAGUGUAGAGGUGAAAUUCGUAGAUAUUGGGAAGAACACCGGUGGCGAAGGCGGCGACCUGGUCCUUGACUGACGCUGAGGCGCGAAAGCGUGGGGAGCAAACAGGAUUAGAUACCCCCGUAGUCCCUGUCUCUUAUAC